ACACUGGGGAAGAAAACAAAACAAAUGAUGCUCCUCGGCUGUGCAGCUCCAGGUAAGAUGGCAUCCUGCUCAGAAGCAAGGUGCUAAACGUGCGCUAACACCAGUCUGAAGGGGGCAGUCACAGGAGCAAUGGCUGCCUGCAAGGGAGCUGAAUUUCUUGGGGAGCAGGACAGGAGCUGGUUAUUUGUGCACAAUCCAUCCGUGGGGGAUGCUGAACUGAGCUUGGCCGGCCUGAGAGCAGCUACCACAAGGGACCUGGAAGAGUCAAGGUAAGACUACAAAAGGCUGUUUCUGGCUUAUUUUAUGUACCUCUAUGUCCUCGAAGACCGUGUAGCAUAUUUGUGCAGCAACCUGUGUCUUGGAACACUGACAAGCAGUGCGUGGGCCAAGGGGAUCAAACUGGUGUGUUACAGGAGACCUGCAUGGACAAGUACCCGAGCUCAGCCCACAGCCAUGCAGGCACAGGUGGCAGGGCUCAGCUUCUCAGGGCAACACCAAGAGAAGCAGGAUCUGAUUCUAGUUCUGCUCCGCUCCCUGAUGCCCACAGCAGCAGUUGCCAGCUUGAGAUUUCACUGCUCUGUGCCUGUCUUCACCAUGCCGGGGCCAGCACAGCUGGCUUGCAUCCCUCCUGAGUCAUCCUGUGCUGAGAGAACACAGCAAAGACGCUGGCACAGGCAAAGGUGGGGAGCCCAGCUGGCCUUUCAGGGUUCAGGUGAGUUUAGUCACCAGGGCAUAACUGAAAAAAUUGUACCACAGCAUUGUACGUGACCCACACCAUGGGCCAGAGCAGGAAAGGGUGACAGGACUGCCACAGGUCCCCAGGUUUAACCAGUUUCUGCUCAUUAACCAGUGCUGGAGGGACACAGCUGAAUGCAGUCAACAGCUAGGAAGGCUACAAAAAGGAGAACAGAGGCUUAGCUAUGGUUGGAGGGGAGGGAGAGCUUGGUUGUUUAUCUGACCGUCUUCCUCAACGCUCUGUGAAUCCCUGUUUUUCUCAAGACUUUACAAGGUCAAACCCCACAAGCCCCAGCCCAUUCUUGGAUGCAAAGCUCCCCUGCCGCCUACCUCAGACCACUCGGAGAGCUCCCACUGAGGCCCACAGGCCUUGUUCUUGCAGGCUUUCCUCUCCAUGGGCCUGGCCAGCCCGGCUGACUCACAGAGGUCAUCGUAAACGGAGCUGUCAAAGCCUGGAGCCAGCAUCUUCCAGCAGCGCACGGUGCGGUACUGGUAGCCCUCGCCGCAGGUCCUGGAGCAUUCGCUCCACCGGCUGGUCUCCCACCUCCACGAGCACCGGGAGAGAAAGCACAAAGGAAAACCCAGAGCCUCACCUCACACUUCCCAUUGAUGCAGACUCCUUGAUGGGUCCUGUCCUUGCAGGAGGUACCAUCCUGUGCUCGGGCCAUCAGCUGUCUCUCUCCGCUCCGAGUGGUGCACUGGAGGUCACAGGGCUUGUUGGAGAUGCUGGUGUAGUCAUCUGAAGGGACAGAGGCAGAGCAAGGUGAUCAGAAACGGGCAGUGAAGAAGGGGACUUUCCUCUUAUCCAUGCUGCUGGUUUGACAUCACCUUUGAUGUUCUUGCUUCUUGAGAUGAGACCCCAAGGCUACAGAUGUUUCGGCAGUAAAGGGGCUGUGGUAUGAGGCUGCAGAUGGGGACCAGGCCUGGCAGAAGUGCUUCUCGAUGGCAAAACCACUUCCUUGCCAUACCCUCUCCCCUUUACAGUGCCAUCCCUUGUGCCAGACAGGGGAAUCUGCCUCAGCAGAUCCCAGGCCACACAUAAAUACACAAGAGCAAAAAAGACCUGUAAGAGAGGCACCAACUGUACCGACCGUGGCCAGCUACACCCCUUCCAGCUGAUAACUGGAGCAAGAGGUACAGAUAUUCUAUGUUCCCUUGGCAGCUAAUGGAAAGAGAAAAACAGGCAGGUCCAGAAAGACAGUCGUGUCUCAGAGGAGCUGAUUCUGGGCCUCAAGGGCCAUCUGGCAAGCCACGUGAAGCAAUUUAUCUCUUCUGCACAGGAAACGGAUGGACAUCCUGUUCAGAAUAACCCACCACCAGCCCAGUGGGAAGCACACUGGGCAAAAGAGGCAGCCAAAAUGGAAGAAGGCACGCAGGGAUUGAACAGCCACUCUGCCAGGAUGACUGCUGAGACACCUCAGAGGAGCCUGUGUCCUGUCUGCCCGCCAGCGCUUGCUGACGUAUUUUCCAAAACAGGAGCAAUGUGGUGAGAGAGAAGGCCUGGCUGGGCAGAGAGGUUCUGUGAAGAAACAGGGAAUGAUUUCUCCAAAGGAGGUAGCAGAGGAAAGUACUUCCAGACCAACGAGGAGCAUCCAUCCCUUGCCCCCUGCGUCGUUCUCCUGUGUCUGAGGAGAUCCUGUAGGUGUUUUCUCACCCUGAUCCUUUGUGUGAAGCUGUGAAAACCCACCUGGAUAGAGGGGCAUCCAGUGGUAGUAGCGCUUCCCAAAGGCUUUGGCAUUGAAACUGGAGCACUGCUGUUGUUUGAAGCUUGCUGUGUUGGCUGGGCAGGGCUAUGGAGGGAAUAAAUGUGAUCAAAAGCUCCCUAUGUUGCAGCCAUGGUUGUGACAGCUGCUUGUCCCUGCUGCAUCCUUGGAGGAUGAAAAUGCCCUGUCCACCCUGGAAGGAAUCAGUGAUGGACUCUGAGGUGCUGUAACACAGGCAGAAGGGACAGGCUUCCAUUGCCUCAGACAGCUGCAUUUAACAGUACUGCAAAAUUUACUUACAGCAAAGGGAAAAGCAUACUGGAAAAACGUCUUCCUUCCCCCCACCCCACAACAAAUAUAUCUAUAAUCUAAUCUAACCUAUCUAUAUCCUUUUUCCCCACCUUUCAGUCCCAGAGAGUAGAGCCCAUCUCCCCUGUUUUCAGAGGCACGCUGCCCCAGGAGUGGCCCAUGCCUCUGACAGACCAGUCACACCCUGACUGCUGGUGCUCUUGAAGCUCCAAGUGCAGACCCCUGCAUCCCACAUCCCCCAGUAAGAACCAGUCGGUGCUGGAAGUGGUUCUCACCUGCUGCUGGCACAGUUGGUAGUGUUUGGCUUGGCCAACACACAUGGUGCUGUUUGUUCCCUGGGGCAUCUGGAGCCUGCAAAGCAGAAUGAGAAUGCAGAAAUGAGCUGGAGGUCCAU